GUGUCAUAUGAAAGGAAGAAAAAUUAGUAUUCCCUUGAUAAGGAUGGAAGAGGCCCUCAAGUCCAUAGGGUGCACAUAUGGUUAAGGCAUGAUGUUUCAAUAUCACCAGUCAUU
ensembl:snRNA